UACAGAGGGUGCGAGCGUUGCCCGGAAUCACUGGGCGUAAAGGGCGCGUAGGUGGUGGCUUAAGCGUGCGGUGAAAGCUCGGGGCUCAACCCCGAGUCGGCCGUGCGAACUGGGCUCACUGGAGCAUAGUAGAGGCAGGUGGAAUUCCGGGUGUAGCGGUGGAAUGCGUAGAGAUCCGGAAGAACACCGGUGGCGAAGGCGGCCUGCUGGGCUAUGGCUGACACUGAGGCGCGACAGCGUGGGGAGCAAACAGG
rnacentral:rRNA from 1 species